GGAGGAAGGUGGGGAUGACGUCAAAUCAUCAUGCCCCUUAUGACCUGGGCUACACACGUGCUACAAUGGGCGGUACAAAGGGUCGCGAACCGCGAGGGGGAGCCAAUCCCAAAAAGCCGCUCUCAGUUCGGAUUGCAGGCUGCAACUCGCCUGCAUGAAGCCGGAAUCGCUAGUAAUCGCGGAUCAGCAUGCCGCGGUGAAUACGUUCCCGGGCCUU
rnacentral:rRNA from 1 species